GGGAAUUUAGCUGAGAGGCAUAAGCGCCUGCCUUGCAAGCAGGCAGUCGUGAGUUCGAUUCCUGGUACCA
rnacentral:tRNA from 1 species